UGGGCACCCUGUGCCAGCCCCUCCCCACCCUCACAGGGAAGAAUUUCUUCCUAAUAUCCCAUCUAACCCUGCUCUGCAUCAGUGAUGUAUUUUUCCUUCAUGACAUCACUGUACUAAGUCUGCUGGAGUUUUUAGGCACAUUUAAAUUGUGCAUAAUUUAAUCCUCAAAAAACAUGCAGAGAUCUUCUCCAUUCCCUCUUUUAUUGUUUUGCUGAAGGUUUAUCACAUCUCCAUAAAUCCAACAUUCAAAUAACCUUCAGGAAGGGAAUGCUGGAUCUUGGGUGAGAGUCUGGAGGUCUCUGCAGUAGUUUUGCACAAGUUGUCUAGAAAAAGGACAAAGUCUCCUGGUUGAGAAUUUGUGGCAUGAAGGUCUGAGUAAGAGGAACUGUACUUCCCAUUGCAUCACUGAUGUAUCAGCCCAGAGCUUUCCCACAUCUCAUAAGCUGCUUUGAGCCCGUGCAGUUAGCAGAGUGGGGGAAAAAAAGGAAUUGAAGAAGCAAAAAUAAAUAUUAAAGCACAUAAGAAUGAAAUAUCACCUAUUCAAAUAGCAAUUAUGCCGUUGAAAACAAGAUCACCACACCUGUACAAGAAAAGACAACCAAGCCUAAAACAUCUGUUUGGAUCCACCUGCCAAGCACCUGUUCCUCUGUUUCAAUGCCAUUUGAUUGCUGGAGAUGUAGAGGCUCUUGUGAGGUUUCUUGCACAGUUGUACGCUUUGUGCUGAUGGAAGAUGCUGCAGACUCAGGUCUUUACCCACAGACUAGUUUCCAUGCUGGGAACUGCAGGAUAAUUUAGCCCAUGCUCCUCAUCAUGGAGAAUUCAGCAGCUGCUUGGGAUCAUCUCCCAGAGAGGAAGGAGAUGUGGAAGUCAAACGGAGAGGUGCAGCAUCCCCUCUGCCUCUUCCCAAGAAGGGAUGCUGAACACUGGAGGAAGCUGAUUUCUCCUCUGAUCUCUCUGCAGAUCCCAAGUGGAUUAUUGCUGUGUUCAGAGCUGCAGUACAGGAAAGAGAAGGGAUGUGUGUGGGAAGGAUGGCCAGGCCAACAGGAGGAAAGAGAAAACAGGUAAGACAGAAAAUCUCUUCAGCAUUGUGGGUAACCCCUGCAGAUUUAGUACAUGGAAGAAUAUUUUUAGCUCUUUUUUCCAUAUUUUUAAAAUGUCUUUAUCCUUGUGUAUCAUGACACACAGUUCCUUUUCUGCACUUCUAUUAAAGGCCACUAACUUUAAGUUCUGAUGUCUUAACUAUUUUUAUAUCCUGAAUCUAACCUGCUGAUAGCUGAACAUGUUGUUUGAAAAAGAGGUCCCAAGGGAAAACACCAUAGAAAGGAAAUAUAUCAAUAAGGAAAUACAAGUAACUGUGA